UCCGUGCCAGCAGCCGCGGUAAUACGGAGGGUGCGAGCGUUAAUCGGAAUUACUGGGCGUAAAGCGCAUGCAGGCGGCCUGUUAAGUCAGAUGUGAAAGACCCGGGGCGUUAACCUCGGAAUUGCAUUUGAAACUGGCAGGCUAGAGUCUUGUAGAGGGGGGUAGGAAGUUUCAGGUGUAGCGGUGAAAUGCGUAGAGAUCUGAAGGAAUACCAGUGGCGAAGGCGGCCCCCUCGGACAAAGACUGACGCUCAGAUGCGAAAGCGUGGGGAGCAAACAGGAUUAGAUACCCUGGUAG
rnacentral:rRNA from 1 species